GUGGUACUCAUUGCAGCUGCUGGCCACUGCACAAGAUUAGAACAGGGUAACUCUUGUGCGUGUGACAGCGGCUAUUGUGAGAUAUCGAUAUUCAACUU
rnacentral:pre_miRNA from 12 species